UGGACGUGGCACUCGGCGGCGUUGGGUCGCAGGUUGGACUCGAUAAUCUCAGAGGUCUUUUCCAACCCAAUUGAUUCUGUGAUUUGCUGAUUUGGUCCUCUCUGCAAAGCCUUGCACUUUAAUUUCCCUCUUAUUUUAACUGUAUUGCUCAUCUUACCAACUUUAUUUUUUUUUUUUCUUUUCACUACACUGGCAGCACUUUCUGCUGUCUCUUUUGGAUGGAACGUGCUGCCACCAUCCUGCUCCAAAACCACUGAGCCCAAAGUCCCGUAAACCCCAGGGGUGGAGGAUCCCUGUGGAGCGUGGGUGUUGCAAAGGGAUUUUGCCGUUCCCAUGCAGUGCAAAUCCCACUGACGUGCUGUUGUUCCAGGCAUCCUUUGCACCUCUUGUGGCAUCCAUCUGCUUCCCUGGCUCCUACAUAAACUCACAGGCAGCAAGGAGGGGAGGGGGAAGGAGUCCUCCCACUCUUUUACCUUUGCUUGACAGUUUUAGGCUUGCAGGGAUCUUGCCAAAACAAUUUCCCUGCCUCAGCCUGUAUGGGAGCGAUGUUAGUGGUACAGGUGCCUCUUAGGCCUCAAGCAGAGGCAGCAGUUUCCAGUCUUUUAUUCUCUCUUCCCAUAAAAAAACAUAUUCAGGAUCUGUAUUCAUGCUUAUAGUGAAUAAGUGAGGAGCAGAGCUGCAUAGGAACCUUCUAUCAGGGAUUGAAGCUGGGGGAAAAAGAGCCAAUCUCAGUCAAGAACUCAUUUAAAUAUGAAUUUAAAUGGGACCAGAUGCUUCGUGGCACAUACUUGGUGCAGCCAUAUAGGUGGACGUAGUCACAGUUACAGAAAUACUUCAAAUUGUUAUAACCUCACAGGGUCAAGUGAACAGAGACCAUGCUAGUCUGGCCUCCCCUUUAUGAUGAGAGGCAAAUUCUUGGUGCAAGGCAAGCUGGGGAUUUAGGUUGUGUCUUUAAUGGGCUCCCAGGUGGCACCAAAUUCCUUUUCUAGGUACUGUUAUUGUCCUUCCCAUCCUGUUAAAUGGAGCCAUGUGAUGUUAGGAAACUCUUAUCUACAGACCUUCUGUUUCUUGCCUACAUUUUUGUAAUUUGAGUGUUUUGAAUUCCUGGUUCUUCUAGGUAGGGGCAGUGCCGUCCUUUGGAGCUGGCUGGUGUGUUGUGAAUAUUAAUGGCAACAAGGAAUGUUCCCAAACAGAACAUGAAGCCCAAGACAAUGCAUCUUUCCAGUAACUCCUGUAAAAAUGCACACAAGACUUUGAACAAAAACAUGGCCUGAAGAAAGUUAAUGAAGUUGUUAAUAGUCUGUGUCACAAAUGAGAAGACUGUGGAUGAUUCUGGCUUUUUCCUUCAGGCCUUGAUGAGUCAUGAAAAUGAUAGAAAGCUAAUUUUUCUAAUGGAGCAGGUUCUGUAAGGAAAAGAAGAGGAAUAAUAAAGAAAAAGCUAAAAUACAAACAUCUGAUGACAAGAGCUACAUGGUGACCAAUGUGUUGUAAGCUGGAAUUUUCUUGAAUCUUAAUGGAUGUUUUGACCUAAUUUACAGAGUCUUUCUUGUUAAUUAACUUUUUUAGAAAGGUCAAACCCUUUUUUUCUCCUAAAGGUCAUGUACUUCAACUAAGAAAUCUUUUCUCAUCUACAGAAUUAUACAGCGACAUAAAAUUCAGGUAUUUUUCAUUCUGAACAUAUUAAUGGAUCAUGAGCAAUAAGCUUGGAGUGUUUCACACUCCUUUUCACUGUCCUCAUUAAAUAAUUCCUUUUUGUGUUUGUGUGUGUGAAUGAUCCCAGGGUUAUGCAGUUAUCCAGCAGCAGGCUCAUCCACUGGAGCCUGGAGAUAGAUGUAAUUUCACACAGAAGGAAAAAGAUAUUCCAAAAUCUCAUGUGGACCUGCUGAUUGUGAGAGAAGUGUGAGAAGAAUGCUGCUUGUAAAACAAGGGUGCCACAUUUAGAUAAAAACUUUGAUUUCAGUAUCAGAGAUGCUGUGAAUGUUUCAGUUGAAUAAUGCAGAUUUAUUACUUCUGAAAGUGGUUGCACCUCUUGGUCAGUCAGGUCAGGUGUUACUCAAAGGCUCACAGGUCUUACAUACAGCACACCUCAAAUGGGAAUGGCACUGCAGGAAUAUUGGAAUAUUGACAUUUUCAAAUCAUUCUUCCUAUUCAAAUAACAACUGAAUUAACUGCCCCUCCAAAAAAAAAAAAACAAAAGUAAAAAAUACCCAAAAAUAAAAAAGGAAAGGAAACAGAAAAUGCUUUUUCAUUAAAUUGGUGAACCUGCUCAGAAAUAUUGAAGGGACACAGAAAACUAGAGUGGUCACAGGAAUUACAACACUGUUGUUGUAAUUCACAGGAAUUUCCCCCACUGUGUUGUGGGGGAAAACAUCUACCACUGUCCUAAUUGGGGAAUUUCUCUGACAGGAAAUAGGAUCCAUUCUGCUUCACAACUUCUUCAUGCAAACUAUAUAAAAUAUUUUAUAAAACCUGAGUGAUUUCUAUAACAGAAUUUUGGCAGUUUAAAGCAAAACGUGUUGCUAUGACAGUUCCUACAAAUCUUUUAGCUUUGUUUUGUAUUAGAAAUAUGUCAAAAUGAAGCCAUUUCUGUCCAAACAAAAAAUUUCAAGGCUUUUUAAAAAUAAUAUCUUAUUUGCCAAAGUCAAGAUGAAGGCUAAUUUCAAAUGCUGUAACUUAGAUCUGCAUAACCAUAAA